AAAAAUGCUGUCCCAUUUUAGCAAAUAAAAUCCAAAUGUCAUGGUGGUAUGGUGCAAAUCCAUUCCUUGAUUGGGAUAAGUUAUAUAAACAGCAAGAUGUAGUGUCUUUAUAAAUACACUAACAGCAGGAACAGUGUUGAUGUAUUUUACUCAUAUUCCCAUAACCAAUGUAGCUGUACUGACCUAUCUUUUAAUUACAGCGCUAGCAUUGUCCCUGAUGCAGUGUAGUUUAUAUUUUCCCAUUUCUUUGCCCAGCAGGUUGUGAGCCACUGAAGCUGUGGCUAAAGAAUCUCAGGGUUUUUCAGUGAGAUGAAUGAAAUAAUGAAAAGCAUUUAUUCAUUGCCCAUUUAAAUCCCCACAUGUGGGAUCCUCCCUUCAGCCUGAGCCUCACACUGACCCUCAAACACAGCAUAAGAUCUCCCAGAGGAAGGGCUGCAGAAGGAUGCUCUCAAGAGGGACAGUCACUGCUUCAUGGAUGAGCAAACCCAGGAUCCAAAAGAUUAAAGGGUUGAGUUCCCUCCUGCCAUUACCAGCAUGAUGAUUACUUGGUUGUGAUUAAUAACACAGGUGAAAUGAGCUAAUGAGGAUUAUGCAGAGGAAAAGAGCUCUCUAUGUUAGGCAAGAGGAGCUCUUUUAGGGGCUGGGGAGGUGGACAUCUGCUUGCUUAUGGUCCUAGAUGUUGGAUUCAAAAUAUUCCCAUAAUUCAGUACACUACUUCAAGGAAAGGAAGCACCAGAGUGAGAUCAUUGUGAGAAAAUUGGGGUCAUCAGCUUGGUGAUGAUACAGAUACCCUCCUGUAGCCAGCUGCUCCUCUCAGCUGCUAUUCUCCUUCUUUGUUGUAGGCCAUGCCGGGAUGAGAGAGGUGUAUGUGUAUGUGUAAAUAAGCUGUAAAUAAGCCACUGGUCCCGAUGGUCUUGUCCCAGAAGGUGGGUCCUGAAAUGUUUAUGGCGGUGCUCGUGACUCCACAUCUGCAAAACACUGUCUGGGCCGGAGCCUGGGGGGACAACAGCACUGAUCUUUCCUGGCCGCUUCUCCGCAGGCCUCUCGGCAGAUUCUGGCACCUCCAGUUUUUACAUGAAAAAGCAGAUGGAGAGAGCACUUCUGAGAGUCUAACACCUCCUUAACCCAGAGAUAUUUCCAGCAGAAAUCUUCUCAAGGCUCCAAGCGUUCCCCAGGCAGCUCUAGCUCCCCGCAGCAUAACACCUCACACUGAAAGGCUGUGGCCAUCAGGAAGGAGGUCCAGGGACAACGGAUCUUAGUGGGUGAAGCUGACAUGGAAACUCACUGAGAAGGGAGGGCAAGCCAAAUCUUUCAUGCCAUAGGAAGAACUAAAUUGCUUAGAACCCAUAAAGCUGGUAGAGAAGCAGCCAGAACAGUCUGCACGACCAGCCUGAACAAAAGCAGUGAGCACGUCAGGGAAAGCAAUCACAGGACAGUGCCAGGUUUGUGGCUGGCUGUGUGCUCUGCCCUCGCUCAUCUCUGUUUUGUUGCUGGCGAGAGUGAGGUUACCUGGCUGUGAGAUAGCCAGGAAGGCUGACACUGGGCCCAGCAGGGAGCUGGAGGAGAUGGGGUGUCACUUCGCCAGUGUUCAUCAAGUCUGACACCAUGCACUGAUGGGCCCCCAAGGUGUUCUGUGUGAACCAUUCUCCUCCCAUGCCUCUAUCAUAGAAGCAACAAUGAGUGUUGUGCCUACUGAUGUCACCUCACAGACUAAAAGCUUAAGCAUCCCUUAAGCACAAGAUGAGGUUGCUUUAAGCUUCAUGUAUCUCCCCACAGUACCUCUCCACUUCAUCUGCAUUGAAUCAUAGAAUCACAGAAUGGCUUUUGUUGGAAGGGACCUUAAAAAUCAUCUAGAUCCAACCCCACUGCCAUGGGAAGGGCUGCCACCCAUCAGAUCAGACUGCCCAGGGCCCCGUCCAACUUGGCCUUGAAUGCCUCCGGGAUGGGGUAUCCACAACUUCUCUAGGCAGGCUGUGCCAGGGCCUCAGCACCAUAUGAGUAAAUAAUUUUUUCCUAAUAUCUGACCUAAAUCUCCUCUCUUUUAUUUUAAAAUCAUCCCCCCUUGCCCUAGUAGUAGACCAUGUAAAAAAGUUGUUCCCUUAGGUAUUAGCCUCAGCCUGUGCUACAGGCUGCACCAUCCCAGCAUGGCUGAUAUUGCCUGUUCCCAUUCCUGGCAGCAAUUAAUGUCUGCUAAAGGAAGAUUGGGCCAGCCUUUUCUAUCCAUCCCACUGGCACUCCCUCAAGCUUUGCAUUACUCCACUGGAGCUGCACUGAUUUAUUAGAGCUCAGACAGAUCUGUAGUCAUAACAAGCUGGGAAAUAUUUUCUGUAUAGGCUCAAGAUUAAGGCAGGGGCUCAGACCUUACUCAGAAAAGGGAUUACACUGGGAAUAAGUUUACCCCUGGCAGAUUUACCUAAUGAGCCCAGGUAGUGGUGACUGAGAAAGUGAUGGGAAAUUCUAUACAGAGCCUAGCCAUUAGGGCCACUGCUGCUGAAGCAGCAUGCUGCUCUAUGGGAACCUGUUUUGUCAUAUCAUAUCAUAUCAUAAGAUGGGCACUGCCACUGCCCUCACAGGACCGUCUUCUUCCUCCCUUGCCUUCUUUCAUCAUCCACUAAAGCCAAAAAACAUUUUGCUCUCUCUUCAGGAAGAAAACAAGAUGCACCAUAUCACAGCAGCAAUUUCUACCCUGUAGAAAAGCCUAUUCCUAUGCCCCUGUGAUCCCAUGGACACAUUCAUGCCAUGAGCAGCUCCAGUCAAACCAGGGAUAUUCUCCAAGGACUGAGAUGUCAUCCAUUAGAGGUGUCCCAUGGUUGGAUGCCUGUAGUACAUGCUACUUGCUGCCUUCACAAAACCAGCACCGUGUGCUGGGUUACAUCAUGUCAUAGUGUAAUGCCUUUAAAUCAUUAAGCUGGCUUAUUUCUGGACCAGAGCCAGGAAAGCUGACGAAGGCCAGGCCGAGUUCAAAUAAAACCAGAGGACAUUGUGGUUACA
rnacentral:lncRNA from 1 species